rnacentral:rRNA from 1 species
UACGGGGGGGGCGAGCGUUGUCCGGAUUUACUGGGCGUAAAGCGCGCGCAGGCGGACUGAUCAGUCUGGGGUGAAAUCUCACGGCUCAACUGUGAGCGGUCCCUGGAUACUGUCAGUCUUGAGAUGUCUAGAGGAGAGCGGAAUUCCCGGUGUAGUGGUGGAAUGCGUAGAUAUCGGGAAGAACACCAGUGGCGAAAGCGGCUCUCUGGGGACCAUCUGACGCUGAGGCGCGAAAGCGUGGGGAGCGAACCGG